rnacentral:rRNA from 1 species
GGCUUGUCUUASCCACGUUCGAUCGAGUGUCGGCU